UUGAACGCUGGCGGCAUGCUUUACACAUGCAAGUCGAACGGCAGCGCGGGCUUCGGCCUGGCGGCGAGUGGCGAACGGGUGAGUAAUACAUCGGAACGUGCCCAGUAGUGGGGGAUAGCUCGGCGAAAGCCGGAUUAAUACCGCAUACGACCUGAGGGUGAAAGCGGGGGAUCUUCGGACCUCGCGCUAUUGGAGCGGCCGAUGGCAGAUUAGCUAGUUGGUGGGGUAAAGGCCUACCAAGGCGACGAUCCGUAGCUGGUCUGAGAGGACGACCAGCCACACUGGGACUGAGACACGGCCCAGACUCCUACGGGAGGCAGCAGUGGGGAAUUUUGGACAAUGGGCGAAAGCCUGAUCCAGCAAUGCCGCGUGUGUGAUGAAGGCCUUCGGGUUGUAAAGCACUUUUGGCGGGAACGAAAAGGACUGUGCCAAUACCACGGUUCGAUGACGGUACCCGCAGAAUAAGCACCGGCUAACUACGUG
rnacentral:rRNA from 1 species